rnacentral:rRNA from 1 species
AUUGAACGCUGGCGGCAGGCCUAACACAUGCAAGUCGAACGAGUGGCGGACGGGCGAGUAAUGUCUGGGAAACUGCCUGAUGGAGGGGGAUAACUACUGGAAACGGUAGCUAAUACCGCAUACCAUCGGAUGUGCCCAGAUGGGAUUAGCUAGUUGGUGGGGUAAAGGCUCACCUAGGCGACGAUCCCUAGCUGGUCUGAGAGGAUGACCAGCCACACUGGAACUGUGACACGGUCCAGACUCCUACGGACGGCAGCAGUGGGGAUUGUUGCCCAAUGGACACGAGCAUGAUGCAGACAUGCCGCGUGUAUGAAGAAGCCCUUCGGGUUGUGAAGCAAUUUCGGCCGAGAGGCGUUACCCGCAGAAGAAGCACCAGCUAACUCCGUGACAGCAGCCGCGGUAAUUC